GACGAACGCUGGCGGCGUGCUUAACACAUGCAAGUCGAACGGAUCAUCGGUGCUUGCACCGGUGGUUAGUGGCGAACGGGUGAGUAACACGUGAGUAACCUGCCCCCGACUCUGGGAUAACCCCGGGAAAUCGGAGCUAAUACCGGAUACGAGACGCACAGGCAUCUGUUGCGUCUGGAAAGAAUUUCGGUCGGGGAUGGACUCGCGGCCUAUCAGCUAGUUGGUGGGGUAACGGCCCACCAAGGCGACGACGGGUAGCCGGCCUGAGAGGGCGACCGGCCACACUGGGACUGAGACACGGCCCAGACUCCUACGGGAGGCAGCAGUGGGGAAUAUUGCACAAUGGGCGAAAGCCUGAUGCAGCGACGCCGCGUGGGGGAUGAAGGCCUUCGGGUUGUAAACCCCUUUCAGCAGGGAAGAAGCGAAAGUGACGGUACCUGCAGAAGAAGCGCCGGCUAACUACGUGCCAGCAGCCGCGGUAAUACGUAGGGCGCAAGCGUUGUCCGGAAUUAUUGGGCGUAAAGAGCUCGUAGGUGGUCUGUCGCGUCUGCUGUGAAAGCCCGAGGCUCAACCUCGGGUCUGCAGUGGGUACGGGCAGACUAGAGUGCGGUAGGGGAGACUGGAAUUCCUGGUGUAGCGGUGGAAUGCGCAGAUAUCAGGAGGAACACCGAUGGCGAAGGCAGGUCUCUGGGCCGCAACUGACACUGAGGAGCGAAAGCAUGGGGAGCGAACAGGAUUAGAUACCCUGGUAGUCCAUGCCGUAAACGUUGGGCACUAGGUGUGGGGCUCAUUCCACGAGUUCCGUGCCGCAGCUAACGCAUUAAGU
rnacentral:rRNA from 1 species